GGAGCAACGCCGCCGUGAGUGAUGAAGGCUUUCGGGUCGUAAAACUCUGUUGUUAGGGAAGAACAAGUGCUAGUUGAAUAAGCUGGCACCUUGACGGUACCUAACCAGAAAGCCACGGCUAACUACGUGCCAGCAGCCGCGGUAAUACGUAGGUGGCAAGCGUUAUCCGGAAUUAUUGGGCGUAAAGCGCGCGCAGGUGGUUUCUUAAGUCUGAUGUGAAAGCCCACGGCUCAACCGUGGAGGGUCAUUGGAAACUGGGAGACUUGAGUGCAGAAGAGGAAAGUGGAAUUCCAUGUGUAGCGGUGAAAUGCGUAGAGAUAUGGAGGAACACCAGUGGCGAAGGCGACUUUCUGGUCUGUAACUGACACUGAGGCGCGAAAGCGUGGGGAGCAAACAGGAUUAGAUACCCUGGUAGUCCACGCCGUAAACGAUGAGUGCUAAGUGUUAGAGGGUUUCCGCCCUUUAGUGCUGAAGUUAACGCAUAAGCA
rnacentral:rRNA from 1 species